AUACGUAGGGGGCGAGCAUUGUCCGGAUUUAUUGGGCGUAAAGGGUGCGUAGGCGGCCUUGUAAGUCAGAUGUGAAAGAUCAUGGCUUAACUGUGGUAAGCAUUUGAAACUGCAGGGCUUGAGUACAGGAGUGGAGAGUGGAAUUCCUAGUGUAGCGGUGAAAUGCGUAGAUAUUAGGAGGAAUACCAGUGGCGAAGGCGACUCUCUGGACUGAUACUGACGCUGAGGCACGAAAGCGUGGGGAGCAAACAGGAUUAGAUACCCUGGUAGUCCACGCUAUAAACGAUGAGUGCUAGGUGUCGGGGGUCAAACCUCGGUGCCGCAGUUAACACAUUAAGCACUCCGCCUGGGGAGUACGGUCGCAAGGCUAAAACUUAAAGGAAUUGACGGGG
rnacentral:rRNA from 1 species